UACGUAGGGUGCAAGCGUUAAUCGGAAUUACUGGGCGUAAAGGGCGCGUAGGCGGUGCUUCAAGUCAGGCGUGAAAAGCCCCCCGGCUCAACUGGGGAGGGUCGCGAUACUGAUCGACUCGAAGGCAGGAGAGGGUAGUGGAAUUCCCGGUGUAGUGGUGAAAUGCGUAGAGUAUCGGGAGGAACACCGGUGGCGAAGGCGGCGAUCUGGGUAGAUACUGACGCUGAGGUGCGAAAGCGUGGGGAGCAAACAGG
rnacentral:rRNA from 1 species